UAAGGAAUAUUGGUCAAUGGACGCAAGUCUGAACCAGCCAUGCCGCGUGAAGGAUGAAGGUCCUCUGGAUUGUAAACUUCUUUUAUCUGGGACGAAAACGGGAUUUUUAUCUCAAUUGACGGUACCAGAGGAAUAAGCACCGGCUAACUCCGUGCCAGCAGCCGCGGUAAUACGGAGGGUGCGAGCGUUAUCCGGAUUUACUGGGUUUAAAGGGUGCGUAGGUGGGCUUAUAAGUCAGUGGUGAAAUCUCCGAGCGUAACUUGGAAACGGCCGUUGAUACUAUGGGUCUUGAAUUAUCUGGAGGUAAGCGGAAUAUGUAAUGGAGCGGUGAAAUGCUUAGAUAUGACAUAGAACACCAAUUGCGAAGGCAGCUUACUACAUAUAAAUUGACGCUGAGGCACGAAAGCGUGGGGAUCAAACA
rnacentral:rRNA from 1 species